rnacentral:rRNA from 1 species
GAUGAACGCUGGCGGCGUGCCUAAUACAUGCAAGUCGAGCGAACAGACGAGGAGCUUGCUCCUCUGACGUUAGCGGCGGACGGGUGAGUAACACGUGGAUAACCUACCUAUAAGACUGGGAUAACUUCGGGAAACCGGAGCUAAUACCGGAUAAUAUAUUGAACCGCAUGGUUCAAUAGUGAAAGACGGUUUUGCUGUCACUUAUAGAUGGAUCCGCGCCGCAUUAGCUAGUUGGUAAGGUAACGGCUUACCAAGGUGACGAUGCGUAGCCGACCUGAGAGGGUGAUCGGCCACACUUGAACUGAGACACGGUCCAGACUCCUACGGGAGGCAGCAGUAGGGAAUCUUCCGCAAUGGGCGAAAGCCUGACGGAGCAACGCCGCGUGAGUGAUGAAGGUCUUCGGAUCGUAAAACUCUGUUAUUAGGGAAGAACAAAUGUGUAAGUAACUAUGCACGUCUUGACGGUACCUAAUCAGAAAGCCACGGCUAACUACGUG